GCCUUCGUGGUGUAGUGGUCUGCAUGCUCCACGUGUAACCGAGAUGCCCGUGGUUCGAUUCCCGGCGAAGGCG
rnacentral:tRNA from 1 species